UAAGAGUUUGAUCCUGGCUCAGAUUGAACGCUGGCGGCAUGCCUUACACAUCGAACGGUAGAGCUGCAACCCUCGAGAGUGGCGAACGGGUGAGUAAUGCAUCACAACGUGCCCAGUCGUGGCGGAUAACACUUCGAAAGAAGUGCUAAUACCGCAUACGACCUGAGGGUGAAAGCGGGGGACCGCAAGGCCUCGCGCGAUUGGAGCGGCCGAUGUCAGAUUAGGUAGUUGGUGGGGUAAAGGCCCACCAAGCCGACGAUCUGUAGCUGGUCUGAGAGGACGACCAGCCACACUGGGACUGAGACACGGCCCAGACUCCUACGGGAGGCAGCAGUGGGGAAUUUUGGACAAUGGGCGCAAGCCUGAUCCAGCCAUGCCGCGUGCGGGAAGAACCCUUCGGGUUGUAAACCGGUCAGGGAAGAAACGCUCCGGGCUAAUACCCUGUAGUAAUGACGGUACCUGAAGAAUAAGCACCGGCUAACUACGUGCCAGCAGCCGCGGUAAUACGUAGGGUGCAAGCGUUAAUCGGAAUUAAGUCGCGUAAAGCGUGCGCAGGCGGUGACUAAGACAGAGGUGAAAUCCCCGGGCUCAACCUGGGAACUGCCUUUGUGACUGUAGGGCUAGAGUGCGGCAGAGCUGAUGGAAUUCCGUAUGUAGCAGUGAAAUGCGUAGAUAUGCGACGGAACACCGAUGGCGCUGCAAUCCCCUGGGCCUGCACUGACGCUCAUGCACGAAAGCGUGGGGAGCAGGAGGAUUAGAUACCCUGGUAGUCCACGCCCUAAACGAUGUCAACUGGUUGUUGACUAGUUUGCUUCUCAGUAACGAAGCUAACGCGUGAAGUUGACCGCCCUGGCUAGUACGGCCGCAAGUGUUGAAACUCAAGACGGAAUUGACACGACCCGCACAAGCGGUGGAUGAUGUGGUUUAAUUCGAUGCAACGCGAAAAACCUUACCUACAGAGACAUGGCAGGAACCUUGGAGAGAUCUGAGGGUGCAUCAAGAGAUACCUGCACACAGGUAGGCAUGGCCGUCGUCAGCUCGUAUCGUGAGAUGUUGGCACAAGUCCCGCAACGAGCGCAACCCUUGUCAUUAGUUGCUACGAAAGGGCACUCUAAUGAGACUGCCUGUGACGUCGGAGGAAGGUGGAUGACGUCAGGUCCUCAUGGCCCUUAUGGGUAGCCUACACACGUCAUACAAUGGCCGGUACAGACUGCUGCCAACCCGCGAGGGAUAGCCAAUCCCAGAAAACCGGUACAGUCCGGAUCGCAGUCUGCAACUCGACUGCGUGAAGUCGGAAUCGCUAGUAAUCAUCUAUCAGCUUGCCGCGGUGAAUACGUUCCCGGGUCUUGUACACACCGCCCGUCACACCAUCAGAGCGGGUUCUGCCAGAAGUCGUUAGCCUAACCGCAACAUGCGAUGACCACGGCAGGACGAGUGACUGCGUGAAGUCGUAACUCGGUAACCAGAC
rnacentral:rRNA from 1 species